CCUACGGGAGGCAGCAGUAGGGAAUCUUUCACAAUGGGCGAAAGCCUGAUGGAGCAACGCCGCGUGCAGGAUGAAGGCCUUCGGGUUGUAAACUGCUUUUAUAAGCGAGAAAUAUGAUGGUAACUUAUGAAUAAGGAUCGGCUAACUACGUGCCAGCAGCCGCGGUCAUACGUAGGAUCCGAGCAUUAUCCGGAGUGACUGGGUGUAAAGAGUUGCGUAGGUGGCAUAAUAAGUAGCUAGUGAAAUCUGGUGGCUCAACCAUUCAGACGAUUAGCUAAACUGUUAAGCUCGAGACCGUUAGGGGUAACUGGAAUUUCUAGUGUAGGAGUGAAAUCCGUAGAUAUUAGAAGGAACACCAAUAGCGUAGGCAGGUUGCUGGGACGGUUCUGACACUAAGGCACGAAAGCGUAGGGAGCAAACGGGAUUAGAUACCCGUGUAGUC
rnacentral:rRNA from 1 species